UACGUAGGCAGCGAGCGUUGUUCGGAAUUACUGGGCGUAAAGAGUGUGUAGGCGGUGCUCUAAGUUCGGUGUGAAAUCUCCUGCUUAACUGGAGGGUGCGCCGGAAACUGGAGUGCUCGAACGUGGGAGAGGAAAGCGGAAUUCCUGGAUGUAGCGGUGAAAUGCGUAGAUAUCAGGAGGAACACCUGCGGUGUAGACGGCUUUCUGGACCAUUGUUGACGCUGAGACACGAAAGCGUGGGUAGCAAACAGG
rnacentral:rRNA from 1 species